AGACCCGAAACCCGGUGAUCUAGCCAUGGGCAGGUUGAAGGUUGGGUAACACUAACUGGAGGACCGAACCGACUAAUGUUGAAAAAUUAGCGGAUGACCUGUGGCUGGGGGUGAAAGGCCAAUCAAACCGGGAGAUAGCUGGUUCUCCCCGAAAGCUAUUUAGGUAGCGCCUCGUGAAUUCAUCUCCGGGGGUAGAGCACUGUUUCGGCUAGGGGGCCAUCCCGGCUUACCAACCCGAUGCAAACUGCGAAUACCGGAGAAUGUUAUCACGGGAGACACACGGCGGGUGCUAACGUCCGUCGUGAAGAGGGAAACAACCCAGACCGCCAGCUAAGGUCCCAAAGUCAUGGUUAAGUGGGAAACGAUGUGGGAAGGCCCAGACAGCCAGGAUGUUGGCUUAGAAGCAGCCAUCAUUUAAAGAAAGCGUAAUAGCUCACUGGUCGAGUCGGCCUGCGCGGAAGAUGUAACGGGGCUAAACCAUGCACCGAAGCUGCGGCAGCGACACUAUGUGUUGUUGGGUAGGGGAGCGUUCUGUAAGCCUGUGAAGGUGGCCUGUGAGGGUUGCUGGAGGUAUCAGAAGUGCGA
rnacentral:rRNA from 1 species